rnacentral:rRNA from 1 species
UACGUAGGGGGCUAGCGUUGUCCGGAAUCAUUGGGCGUAAAGAGCGCGUAGGCGGCUAGAUAAGUCCGGUGUGAAAGUCACAGGCUCAACCUGUGAAUGCCGCUGGAAACUGUCUGGCUAGAGUUCGGAAGAGGCGAGUGGAAUUCCCGGUGUAGCGGUGAAAUGCGCAGAUAUCGGGAGGAACACCUAUGGCGAAGGCAGCUCGCUGGGACGUUACUGACGCUGAGACGCGAAAGCGUGGGGAGCAAACAGG